UAGUGGCAAACGGGUGAGUAACACGUGGGUUACCUACCUCUAAGUUGGGGAUAACAGUUGGAAACGAUUUAGCUAAUACCGAAUGUACUCUACGGAGUAAAGGAGCUUUAAAGCUUCGCUUAGAGAUGGGCCUGCGGUGUAUUAGCUAGUUGGUGAGGUAAUGGCCACCAAGGCUGCGAUACAUAGCCGAACUGAGAGGUUAAUCGGCCACAUUGGGACUGAGAUACGGCCCAAACUCCUACGGGAGACAGCAGUUAGGAAUAUUCGUCAAUGGGGGAAACCCUGAACGAGCGAUGCCGCGUGAGUGAUGACAGCCCUUUGGGUUGUAAAACUCUGUUGUUUGGGAAGAACAGAGAGAAUAGGAAAUGAUUCUCUUUUGACGGUACCAUUCAAGAAAGCUCCGGCUAACUACGUG
rnacentral:rRNA from 1 species